AACGAACGCUGGCGGCAGGCUUAACACAUGCAAGUCGAGCGAGACCUUCGGGUCUAGCGGCGGACGGGGGAGUAACGCGUGGGAACGUGCCCUUCUCUACGGAAUAGCCCCGGGAAACUGGGAGUAAUACCGUAUACGCCCUUUGGGGGAAAGAUUUAUCGGAGAAGGGUCGGCCCUCGUUGGAUUCGGUGGUUGGUGGGGUAAUGGCCCACCAAGCCGACGAUCCAUAGCUGGUUGGAGAGGAUGCUCCGCCACACUGGGACUGAGACACGGCCCAGACUCCUACGGGAGGCAGCAGUGGGGAAUCUUAGACGAUGGGGGCAACCCUGAUCAAGCCAUGCCGCGUGAGUGAUGAAGGCCUUAGGGUUGUAAAGCUCUUUCAGCUGGGAAGAUAAUGACGGUACCAGCAGAAGAAGCCCCGGCUAACUCCGUG
rnacentral:rRNA from 1 species